GACAGAGGUGCCGAGCGUUAGGCGGAAUCACUGGGCUUAAAGCGUGUGUAGGCGGGUCGUUAAGUGCCUUGUGAAAUCCCACAGCUCACCUGUGGAACUGCUCGGCAUACUGGCGAUCUUGAGCCACUUAGGGGCAACCGGAACAAACGGUGGAGCGGUGAAAUGCGUAGAUAUCAUUUGGAACGCCAAUGGUGAAAACAGGUAGCUGGGGCUGAUGCUGACGCUGAGACACGAAAGCCAGGGGAGCAAACGGG
rnacentral:rRNA from 1 species